UCACAGGCGCCUCAGGGACGUGGGAAUCUACGGAAGCCACUAGAGGCCACUCUAGGCGUGGCCUGGGAGCCCAGAGGCUGCUGACUGGAUUCCUGCUUCCCAGGAGCUGCCUCCUGACUCCCCUGGAUGCUGCAGCUGUCCCCUGAAGUCCCCCAAACCCAUCAUGAUACACAGCGCAUGGCGGGAAUUUGAUACAAAUUUGCUGAUUGAAUCCAUGGCACCCUUUGAGAUGCGGUUCUGUUGGUUUUGAAUGUCUGUGGUCUUCAAGAUCCUCUACAACUGAGAUUCUUAACUUAGGGUCUAGGAAGCCUCUGAAACUGGAUGUAAACUACAGGCUCACGUGUGCUUUUCAGGGGGAGGCAUCUACAGAACUCAACAUAUUCUCUAUACUGUUUAAGGCCCCCAAGAACUCGAGAAACACUGGGAAAAAUGAAGAAGCAUGUGCCACUGGAAAAGUCAUCCUAAACCACUGUUUUACAGAGAGCGGCACUCCAGGACCGGGAGGAGCCUUUGGGAUGGUCCAGUGAGGCUAAGCCGACAGAUCCGAACAGAUGCCUGAGGACCCAGACAGAUGCCUGGAUGGGAAAAACGUUUGAUGGAUUUCACGCAGGAGGAUCUGACAAUGUAUAUUACGGAUGGCAUAUGCAGUUUCCAUGGUGGGGAGAGUGUCAGUUGGGAGUUUCUUACCAACAGAUACCUGAGUCAAGAGGGCACUCAAAAAUGACAGCAUCCAUUCCAAACUGGAUAGCAGUGAACAUCUUGGCAUUUCUCUUCCUUGGAAAAGAAUUUUAUAAUUGCCAAUCAAAAUGGACCUGAGACCUACUGUCCAGGAAAAGUUGGUGCCUUUUGGCAUAAGUACACUUGCUCCGCUCUUG